CUUGCUAGCGAGAAAUGGCUCACUGAACAGAUUUUUGGAGGGCUUGGAACAGUUAAUCUGGUUUGUUUCGCUGAGGCUUCAAAGGCUUCAAUGAUGCAGCUAUUAAAUUUUGGUGAAGCCGUAUCUAUUGGCCCACACAAACCAGAGAAGUUGUUUCCUAUUCUUGAUAUGUAUGAGAUUCUUGCAGAUCUUCUUCAAGAUAUAGAUUCUCUAUACUCAGAUGAGGCCGGUUCUUGUGUUAGAACUGACUGUCGCGAGGUUCUAAGGAGAUUAGGGGACUCCGCG
rnacentral:misc_RNA from 1 species